rnacentral:rRNA from 1 species
AGUGGGGAAUAUUGGACAAUGGGGGCAACCCUGAUCCAGCGACGCCGCGUGUGUGAAGAAGGCCUGCGGGUUGUAAAGCACUUUUAGUGGGGAUGAAAAGCACAUCACUAACACUGGUGUGUCUUGACCUAACCCAAAGAAAAAGCACCGGCUAACUCUGUGCCAGCAGCCGCGGUAAUACAGAGGGUGCGAGCGUUAAUCGGAAUUACUGGGCGUAAAGCGUGCGUAGACGGCUAUCUAAGUCGGGUGUGAAAGCCCCGGGCUCAACCUGGGAAUUGCAUUCGAGACUGAAUAGCUAGGGUACGGUAGAGGGAAGCGGAAUUUCCGGUGUAGCGGUGAAAUGCGUAGAUAUCGGAAGGAACAUCAGUGGCGAAAGCGGCUUCCUGGACCAGUACCGACGUUCAGGCACGAAAGCGUGGGGAGCAAACAGGAUUAGAUACCCUGGUAGUCCACGCCAUAAACGAUGAGGACUAGACGUUGGAGGGGUAAGCCUUUCAGUGUCGUAGCUAA